AUUUAAUUGAUUGUCUUGUAUUUAAUUUUUUUGUUUUAUAUGUUGGUUUUAUUGAAAAAUCAUUUUUAGUUGUUGUAGUUAUUUUGAUUUAAUUUUUAAAACUAUAGUUCAUUUGUACCGUGAGGGGUUGGAAAAGGUUUAAGUGUUUUUAAGGAAGUUGAUUUUGUUUAUCGUACCUUGUGUAUCAGGGUUCAUUGAAUUUUAUUAUUUAUUUAUAUUUCCCGAUUUUAAGGGAGUUAAUAGCUUAUAUUGGUUACUGUUUCACUAGUAUUAAUAAUAGGUUGUUGGUAAUGAAAUGUUAUUCGUCUUUAAUGGUUUCUGGUUUUUCAAGAAAUGAAUUUAAUUCAUGUAUCAUAUUUAAUUUCUGUUAUUUUUCUAUUUAUUUUUAUUUGAUGCUAAAAUUAAGGGGGAUUAGCUCCUUGUUUUAAUUGUUAUAAUUAUGUUAUUAAAGAUUUAGUUUUGUGGAUUUUAUAUUGAUUUUCAAUUUGAUUAUGUUAAAAUUUUACUUUUUUUAUUAUUCAUUUAUUUUAAUUUAAUUAGUUUAUUGAGGUGUUUUCUUUACUUUGGUUUGUAUAGUAAUUAUUGUGGAAUUAGUAAAUUUUGUUUUUGUUUUGUAAAUUUUAAUGGGGGUGUUAAUUAUUUUUAGGAAUUAGGCAAAGAUUUUGUGUCCGCCUGUUUAACAAAAACAUCUCUUCUUAUUAGUUUUUGAAGUGUAGCCUGCCCACUGACUUUAAGUUGAAGGGCCGCGGUAUUUUGACCGUGCAAAGGUAGCAUAAUCAUUAGUUCUUUAAUUGUGAUCUGGUAUGAAUGGCUUGACGAGACAUUAGCUGUCUUAAUGGUAUUAUUUAUUGAAUUUAGUCUUUGAGUUAAAAUUCUUAAAUGUUUUUAUGGGACGAGAAGACCCUAUAGAGUUUGACAUUUUUUUGAUUAUGUAGUAUUUUGUUUGUUUUGUUGAUUUAAUUGGAAUAAAUGUUUUGUUGGGGUGAUGGGAGGAAUUAUUUUAACUCCUCUUUGUUUAUAAGUUGUAUAUUUAUUUAUAUCUGUUUUGAUCCAUUUAUUUUGAUUAUAAGAUUAAAUUACCUUAGGGAUAACAGCGUUAUCUUCCCUGAGAGUUCUUAUUGGCGGGGAGGUUUGCGACCUCGAUGUUGGAUUAAGGUGAAUUUUCGGUGCAGGAGCUGAAUUAUUAUUAGGUCUGUUCGACCUUUAAAACCUUACAUGAUCUGAGUUCAGACCGGCGUGAGCCAGGUUGGUUUCUAUCUAUAAUAGUGUUUUAUAUCUUAGUACGAGAGGACCGGGUAUUUGGAAUAAUUUUAUUUUAUUUGAUUGAUAUUAAUGUGGUACUAUUUUGGCAGAUAAGUGCAU
rnacentral:rRNA from 1 species